GAUGAACGCUGGCGGCGUGCCUAAUACAUGCAAGUCGAGCGAACAGACGAGGAGCUUGCUCCUCUGACGUUAGCGGCGGACGGGUGAGUAACACGUGGAUAACCUACCUAUAAGACUGGGAUAACUUCGGGAAACCGGAGCUAAUACCGGAUAAUAUAUUGAACCGCAUGGUUCAAUAGUGAAAGACGGUUUUGCUGUCACUUAUAGAUGGAUCCGCGCCGCAUUAGCUAGUUGGUAAGGUAACGGCUUACCAAGGCAACGAUGCGUAGCCGACCUGAGAGGGUGAUCGGCCACACUGGAACUGGGACACGGUCCAGACUCCUACGGGAGGCAGCAGUAGGGAAUCUUCCGCAAUGGGCGAAAGCCUGACGGAGCAACGCCGCGUGAGUGAUGAAGGUCUUCGGAUCGUAAAACUCUGUUAUUAGGGAAGAACAAAUGUGGAAGUAACUAUGCACGUCUUGACGGUACCUAAUCAGAAAGCCACGGCUAACUACGUG
rnacentral:rRNA from 1 species